GCGCCGAUGACCGAGUGGUUAAAGGUGCCGGCCUUAAGAUCGUGAGCUUGAGAUCCGGUGGCGCGAGCCUUCCUGGGUUCGAACCCCAGUCGGCGCA
rfam:Trichosporon oleaginosus strain IBC0246 unplaced genomic scaffold CC85scaffold_31, whole genome shotgun sequence.